GCGGCAAAUACAAAACAACCACAGUUGUUGCUGCCACUGCAUGUUCUGCUGCUGAAUAGAGGCCACGGCCCAUUGUGCACUUGUACAUUUGGGCGAUUUGCAGCUCAGCACUUGGCUCCAGUUCUUUCCCAUAUUAAGAAGAUGUCUGAAGCUCAGUCUGAAGGAUUAUUGCAGGAAUCUUCAUUUUCCGAAGCUGAAAAGGAGGCACAGCAAUUAAUGAAGGAUGCUCUUCCCCCGUACAUAGUAAAGUGCUUUACAACCGCAGGAUUUGAUACAAUGCAAGUCAUUUUGAAAAUAGAUGUAAGUGAUGAGCCAGGAAAUUCAAUUGAACAAAUAGAAUAAUUUAUCUCUGAUGAACACCCUGACCUUUUAACUUCGAAAAGCAAGAAGUUUCUACCUGGGCACAGGAUUAGAAUACAAUGGCAGUGGCCACCUGCUUGAUUCUUAAGGAUGACCCAACUACUGUUGUGUUUCACCAAGAUGAGCUAAGAACACACGUUUGUCAGUGCCUAGAAAAAGGCACGAUAACACUGUUCCCUGUGAAGAAGAAGAGGAGGCAUGUUAGCCGAGUGUGUAGAACAGAGACUUUAUCAGUGUACUGUUACUGUCGCAUGCCAGAUCAUGGCCAACUAAUGGUACAUUGCAGCCAAUGUGAUGACUGGUUCCAUCGUCAUGCUUACAAAAGAUACCUGAUGAUGAUAUAGAUUUUAUUUGUAACAUUUGUAGUAAGACUGAGAUCUAUAUUAAUUAUCAGUAGUCCAUGUAUACAAAUGUUGUGUAUUGAAAUCUAACUGAAAUCUAACUGAAAUCAAAAAUCUAUGUGAAAUCUACACUGAAACCAGAAAUGUACCGAAAUCUCUAUGAAAUCCAGAAAUCAUUGCAGAGAACAAAAGAAAUCUAUUGAAAUCAUGAAAUCUUAGACGAAACCAUGAAAUCACUUGGAAAUCAGGAAAUCCAGCUGGAAAUCACGAAAUCAUUUUGAAAUCUAGAGAUUUUGAAAUCUCGUACACUAAAAAAACACCCGUUGCCGACCCCUCGGAACAUAUACAUAACUUUAUUGGAAAGUCUCUUUUUACUGGGUGUGGUCAGUCAUUAGCAAGUACUACACGUGGCUCAUGGACUAGGCGUGUUAUAAGUUGCUGAAAGAGAUGAUGUCUCGAGGAAACACAGCUUUGGGAGUUACCCGGCAAAAAUGUGGUUAAUAGCCUCGUUCAUAGGGCGUAGCGCGGAUAAUUUUCGAGGCUCCACUGCAGAUUCAAUGUAAAAUCAUCACAUGCACCACUCCGUUUCCUAUCCCUCUAACUCUUCAAUCUAUGCUGCAAGGCACAGAUUUAUUUGCUGGAAUGGCCACUAAAGAGCAGAACCAAGAGCUCACAAUUGACGAUCUGAAGACAGAAAUGAAACUGACUGAUGAGCAGCUCAAUACAGCAAUACAGGAACCAGAUCUACCCGAGUUAGCAGCAUGUUUCGAUAACACUGAUGACUACUUGAAAAGCUGGAGCUGUCAAUGGAGCUGCCCUCUAUCAACUUCUGAAUACAACUUAAUUUGUCUGGUAACACAGUGACUAACUGUCAUCACAUUGCUGCUGGACUAGCAGUCAAUAAAACUCUGAGAAGAUUGGACUUGAGUAACUGUAAACUGACUGAUCAGAGUAUCGAGGAGCUAUCAACUGAACUGAUCAACAAGAUUGAAACACUGCACAUUUAUGAUGGAACAGAAGAUGGAAUGAAGACGCUUGCCAGACAUCUAACCACCCACUGCUCUGAACUGACACUAUUGGUGAUACCCGACCACCUAAUUAAUAUUCUGUAUCGAGACAGCAUUCAGGGACGCUAACAAAGAGAGGAAGAGAAAUGGACUGCCUGAGAUUUAAUGUGGUUGCAUUCUUACCAUGAUUUUAAUUACUUUUUGAUAAUCGAUUUUAUUUUCUGCCAUAAUUAUAUCACAUUAUAAUA